AAGAUAACACAGCACUCUUGAGAUGACAGCUCAGGUAUGCAGUCUGCCGGCCCAAGCCCCAUGGAACUGUGGGAAGGAACGCAAGUGAUUCUCCUAUUGGACAGGGGCAAGUGCAUGGAAAAGGAUGAUGGUGAGGCUGAAAGCAGGAAAAGAUUUGACCCAUCUCCCAGGUUGGGCCCAGGCCAGAGGUCUCUACCAGCAAAGAGGAUAAAAGAGACUACACCUGGACAAACCCUCCCAGGCCCAGGCCUGAGCCUCACAUGUGGCCCCGGGGAAGGCAUCAGGGACUCCCUUUGCCCUCCCACUGACCUCCCUGCAAACCUCCCCCAAACCAAGGGGCAUCCUCAGCUGGCCAGACCCUGGGGGAAGGGAGAGAGCCGAGGAUCACCGGCACCUGUGGCUGGGUUACCCCUGCCAUGGACCACUGGGUGAUCAAGAAGUCAUUCCAAAAUGUGAAGCGUUCUGAAGAUAUGCACAUAGCGUAAGAACCUGGUGUAAUGUGCUGGUCAAGGCGGUCUCAGAGAGGAGAUGACGUUUGAGCUGACACCUGAGGGAUGAGAAGAAAGCAGCCAUUCCCAGGGCCCAGGGGAGGCAUCCCAGGAAGCCGGAUCAGCAUGAGCAAAAGCCCUGAGGCCUGGCACAAGUUGGUCUGCUUGAGAAGCAGGAGAGAGCCCUGAGCAUCCGGAGUGCAGCAAGCGAGGUGCACAGAGGAGCAGGAAGGGGCUGGGAGAAGGCUGGGGCCGGAUCAUGCAGGACAGGCUGGAGGAAGGGGCUUGAAUUGUCUUCUGACCACUGAGGGGAUAUAAACAUGAGGGCAAAAUCAUCUGAUUUCCAUGUGCAAAGGCCCACUCUGGCUGCUCUAGAGAGAACAGAUGAUUGCAGGGUAAAAGUGGAUUUAGAGAGGUCAGAUGGAGGCUGGGUACGUGCCGUGUAUGGUAGAUAGCAUGCUACCAAAUACACUCACAGGUAGCCCUAUUAUCUCCAUUUCACAGAUGAGCAAGUCAAGAUGCAGAAGGACUCUCUGGCUUGUCCAAGGUCACACGGCUGUUAGGAGCAGAGCAGCGUCCUGGUGCCCAAGCCCUGAGGUCCCCAGCACACUGCCUCUGCAAUGGCCACAACUGUCCAAAGACUAAGCUGACUCUCACACCUGGUAGUGUCUGUGGUCAUUCACUGUGGAUGGAAGUGGAGAAAUGCAGAAAACAGAAACACAGCUUCCCCUUUUCUGUCAUAUUUCUGUAUCGUUGGUGUUUGGAGCCAGUUGAGCACAAAGGGCCCCUGAGUGCUGUUUCCUUGUGAUAUUUGGGGGUUAACAGCUUCCCCUCAUCUCUUAAUUACCUGCCCUCCUUCACUUCAGCUGCACAUUCGUUAAAGAAUGCUCUCCCAGGAGAAGAGCUUGGUGUUAUCACCCACAAACAUCUUAGAAAACUAAUGCUAUCCUUGAGUGCCUGUUUACAGAAACAUUUUUACAUCUCACUUGACAUUUCCAGCAAAUCUUGAUCCUUCCAGCCAGGAAUAUUAAUAUAUAGGUCUUGAAAAGUGCAAGAGGCUCUUCCAUGGCUCCAAGCACAUUUGACACUCUUCCUUUUCUGAUCCCCAAGCAGACAGUGAUGAAACCCCAAUAGCUGGGCGAAUACUCAUCCAACAGGAAGAAUCAGUUUUAAGAGCUGGGUUCUCAGGGUCAAAUACUGUGGUGUGGCCUUUUGGUUGUAAUGAGUUGAAUGGAGGUCUCAAAAAAGAUAUAUCCAUGUUCUAAUCCCCAGAACUUGUGAAUGUGACCUUAUUUGGAAAAAGAGUCCUUUUGGAUGUAAUUAAGUUAAGGAUUUUGAGAUAAGGAGAUCAUCCUGGGUUAUCUGGGUGGACCCUAAAUCUGUUGACAAUGUCCUUAUGAGAGACCCCAGAGGGCACAGACAGGAAAGGAAGAGGCAAUGUGGCCCCAGAGGCUGAGAUCAGAGCUCUGUGGCCACAAUUCGAGGAACACCUGGAGCCACCAGAAGCUGGAGGAGGCAAGGAACAGAUUCUCCCUGAUCCUCUGGAUACAGAGGGAGAAUAGCCUGGCCGACACCUUGAUUUUGGACUUCUGGCCCCCAGAACUGAGAAAAUUAACUUCUGUUGUGUUAAGCAGCCACGUUUGUAGCAGUUCAUCAUAGCAGCCCUGGGAAAGAAAUACAGUGGGCUUCCAGUUCAAGGAGGAUCCACGAGGCCUGAGCUCCAUCUGUCGAUUGGAAUCACCAAAAUCAAGGUUGUGUGCGGGUAACGCCAGCACAAGCAGCUCAUGCUGGCAAAAGCAGACCAAACCGGCUCACGCAACGUCAAGUCAUCUUGAAGUGGUUCACGCACCACAGUGAGUGGUAUUGAUUGUGGUUAAGAGCCAGGUUCAAGGAGGUUUAUCACUCAGUAGCCAGGUAAAGCAGGUUCCAGGCCUGGCUCCACCACUCAACAACCGGGGAAACAGGGGUAAGCUUCUUAAAUGCUCCGUGUCUCAGUUUCUCCAUGUGUAAAAUGAGGGCACUAAUAACAGUCCCUACCUGCAAGGUGGUUGUGAAGAUGAUAUGAAUUCAUAUAUGUAAGGCACUUGGAAUUGACAAUACUGACAUACCACAAAUACAAAAUAAGUGUCUGCCAUUAUUAAGCUAACCCAAAUCAAAACAGACACAGAUGAAUUCAGAAUACUCAAGUAGACUCAGAUAUGUUCAAAUGGAGCCCACCAGUUAAAACUAGCUGAGACCAGUGUAAACUGGCUCAAGCCUUUUGGGCCAAGCUGUACUAAAACCAGAUUAAAUCAGUCAAAACAGGAUUAGAAUAGUCAGUCUGGAAUCUCUACACGCACGCCUGCACAUUUGAGGGGUCUCUCUCCGCCCCCUCUGUACAUCAGAUUGAAUAGUAACAAACAGUCCCACAUCUCCCAAGAAUGAGCAUAAUGGACAAGCAGAGGGCCGCCAAUGUCCCCACCAGAACGAGCAUAAUGGACAGGCAGGGGGCCGCCGAUGUCCCCACCUAAGACAUGCAGACAUUUCCCUGUCGGAAACGCGCUCAGAUUCUUUACGGCAGGUCAAGGCUCAAAUAUCAGAAACCAAUUUCACUCACACUAACUAAACAAGAGACGGGAUCUGUGGUUCAGGAUCCUGAGGCACUCGUGAAACUCAUGGGUAGGAAGGUCAGCUGGAGCCAGUUAGUGUCUGGAAGGCUAUCAGAGCUCAAGGCCCCUCUCUCUGGCCCAUGGAGGGGAAUUAACUCCCUCAAAGGCAGGAGCUCAGUGAGCAGGAGGCUGGUAGGGAGGUGGGAGCUGCAGGUGACCGGUUAGAAGUCAGAGGCUGUUGUGGGGGGCAGCUUGCACCAGUGGACACAAGAGCCCCAACUUGUGGGCACUUGGAAGUCCCAGGCUGUUCCCUGGCUCCACCCCGUCCUCUGGGGUGCCUGCUUCACAGAGCACCAAUAAUGCGUUUGUGUCACUCUAUGUUUCCUGGCAGGAGCAGACCUGCAGAGGGGCCAGAAGACACCUGGCCGGGUGGGGAGCAGCCCCUCCGUAAUAACAAUCGGAACCUGGGAAGAUAAGUAGAGUCCCAGGGGAGGGACAGAGUUUCCCCUGUGUCACCACAUGGCUACUUUGACACAAAUGCACGUGGGCAGAGAGAGGCAUGCAGGUCAAGGGCCUGGCAGGGAGUCAGGGGCCCUCAGUGCCAGUCCUGGCUCUGCCUCUGCCUCUGACACGCCAUGUGACCUUGAGCAAGUCACCACCCUGUCUGGGCUUCGCUAACCCAUAUACGGAAUGAGAAGGUAUCGUCCCUGGUCACUGCAGGUUUUAAAUCAUGUAGUGAGAGAGAGCUCAUUUGGUCCAACUCUCUGCAACUGAAGGAAUGGAGACACCAAGGGGGAGUAAUCGGCCGCAGUGAUGAGUGGGUGGCAAAGGGAGCUAUCACUACCAUUGAUUAUCCAGCUACUUGUGCUUGAUAAACUCCCUCCUGGUGGAAUGGGCUUUCCCACAUCCAGCAGCACAAAUGCUGUGAGCAUCUACUACGGGCUGGGCACCUUCUCUGGGCUGGCACUUGACAUGGGUUAUCUCAUUUAACUCCCUAACAACCCUAUGUGGUAUUAUCAUCCCCAUUUCACAGGCGGCAAAACUGAAUCCCAGAGAGAAGACUCACUCAGACACAGCUAUCUGAACACUCUUUUCCAGUUCCCCUAGGGCAGCAGAGGAAGCAAGGUGGGGGGAAGCCAGUGGUCAAGGAUUCCAUGCGGAAUGUACCCUAGAAUUAACCCAUGGAGAGAGGGCUUCCAGGAGGGGCCUCCCUGGGCUCCCGGAGGACACCCACAGUCCUCACCAUGCAGCUCCCUCCAACAUCAAGCCAGGAAUGGCCGAACAGAUCUUUCUCAUGCUUCAAAUCUCUGAUGAAUUUCUCUUGCCAGAGAAAGCUUGCCAUUUUCCAAGGGCUCACCCAGUCAGAUCCGUCCAACAAGGGUGAUCUCCCUAACAUUAGGUUAACUGACUUGGAACCUCAGUUAAUCUGCAAAAUCCCUUUUGUCAUAUAAUGGAAUACAAUCAUUUGGUUCACAUGCUCAUCUUAUUCACAGGCCCUACACUCAUACAAGGGCAGGGGACCACAGAAGAGUGAAGGCCAGUGAGGGUCACCUCAGAAUUCUGCCCAACACCGGUGUUUUGUAAUUUGGGUAGAUGUUGCCAUGUUGUCCUCCGUGGGGAUUAUGCAGAGGGAACUCUCCUCCUCCAGCAACAGUACAUGUACCUGCUUUUCCAUGGUGCUGCUUAGAGAAUGUUAUCAAACCUUUGGAUUUCUGCCAGUCUGAUAGGAGAAAAAUGGAAUCUCAAUUGUAUUUUAAAAUUGUAAUUAUCGCCUUAUGAAUAAGGCUGAGCAUUUCCUCAAAAGCAUAAGAGCCAUUUAUAUACUUUUUUCUUUAUGGCUUCUGGUUUUGAGGCAUAGAAAGGUCUUUCUAGCUCUAAAGUUAAUCAGAAAUUCUCUGUUUUCUUUUUGCUUUUUUUAAAAUUUUACUUUAAGUCCUUGGAUACAUGUGCUGAACGUGCA
rnacentral:lncRNA from 1 species